AUUCGGUUGCCUUUCCUGAGGAGAGGUGGCAGGUGCUCAGCUCUGCAGGUGUCGGGGCAAGGAAGGACCAAGCGACCUGAGAAGAGCAGAGGUGCCCCAUGGGGACCACGCUGACUUGUCGCAUGUGCACCAAGGCCAGCCCCACUCAGGGCCCUCACAGGGCUUCUGCAGAGCCGUCCUGAGGCUCUGACAUCUAUGAGUCGGCGGCCAGCAGAGGCGCAGACCCCAGCACAGAGGAGCAGAGGCACCCGGAACAAGCUGUCCCUUAAUGCCACCCCAAGCGGGGCCAGCUCAGGAUGCGGUGUUUGGAGCAGUCCUGCAGCUCUGCGAUCCACGAGGUGGUGGUGGGAGUAGCGCCAGAGUCCACUGCUUUGGAGCCUGCCCCGUCUGAUUCAGGAGUCAUGACGACCAGAAGACGCCAAAAGGGAGAGGAGUGGAAGACCUUCUGGUGUGGGCUGGGCAGCAAUUCACUUGAAGGAGAAACAGCCCGGGUGUGGAGAGGCGGCCAUCCUUGGCGGGAUCCUUUCUAAGGAGCCGAGAAAUCAACGUAGAGCUUCCUCUAUCUGAUUCUCUAACAACUGCAGACCUUCCAUGAGUCAAGCUUUGUGUCAAAAGGACAAAUUAAAAGGACCUAUAAAUGGCACCACCCAGCCCAAUGGACAGAUGCCCCAGGCUGCAGAUUCUGUCAGUGCUGUUCUCGAAGAGGCCCAGGCACAUGCUGAAACAUGGAAGGUAAAACCAGCAAGCAGCUGGCAUACAUUCCACCCAGCCGUCCCCCAGGAGAAUUGCUUGAGCUCCGGAGUUCCAGACCAGCCUGGGCAACAGAACAAGGGCUCAUCUCUACUAGAAAUCAAAAAAUUAGCCAGGAUAAGAAGCCAGCCCUCGGGAACCACCAGGAGCCAGGAGCACCCCCGGCCCCCCAAGGCCCCAAG
rnacentral:lncRNA from 1 species